GUUAAACAUGACGCGUCACAGAAUCACGUGACAUUAGAACCUGACAGUCCUCUGAGCUGUGUCCUGAUUGGCUGAGUUUCUUUCAUGUUUAGUUCUUCAGAUCAUCUUCACAGGUGAAAAUCACUGUUCUGAUGUUUGAAGCCUGAAUCCAAUCUCCACAAAUAAAAAGGAAAACAGUCACAUGAUGAAAAGCUGAGAACACCUGAGCAGGUAAACCCUGAGAUCAGCUGUUCAGUCUCUGUACAGGAAGAAGAAGGACUCCAGUCUCCUCAGAGGUCAGAGGUCAGAGGUCGUCUGUGUUCACCGUCAGGACAAGAGAGGUUGACCUCGAACGCACCUGCAAAGAUAAAACACAGCAGAGGGAGAAAUAAACAACAACAGGAACAGUGAUGCGCCCCCUGCAGACUGCACUGCUCAGUAACAGCUCCAGCUCUGACCCACUGGACCACUUAUUACCCAUGAUCCUCCUCUUCUCCAGUGGCUGGAACAAGCUGUUUCUGACUGUCUGAUUGUUUCCUGUCUGACUGUCUGUCAGAGCUGAUCGGGUUUUAAUGAGUGAUUAAUCAGAAUCAACAGGUGUUCAUUUGAACUGAUCAAUAAAUCAAUAAUGAUCACUGAUCAAAACUGUUUUAACUCAUGUGUUUAGUGUUAUUAUUGAUAAACUGAUUCUGACUGAUCAGGAAUCAGCUGACUGAUCUGAGCUUCUCCUUUAAUGACCUCACCACAGUAAAUAAACUGUUGUCAUGGUAACAGCUCCAUGGUAACACUGAGUUUCUGUUGCUUCCUGUUCCUGUGUGUUGCCAUGGUUACAGCUGAUAAGGAGGGCGUGGCCUAAACUUUGACUCAGAGUCUGAAGAGACGGAGGUCAGAGCUCAGAGAGACCAAGCCGAGGUCUCUAAUGAUUGUCUCUACUGUUUCUACUGUUUUCAGUGUCUGACUGACUCUAAUGACUCUGUUUCUAUUGUUUCUAUUGUUUCUGUGGCUCAUGUCUGGUCUGAUCUCAGAUCUGAGUUUCCUGUUUUUUUCAGUCUGUUUCUAAUGUUUUGUUUCCAUUUGAAACUCAAACUUUAUUGAUCUGUGGUUUGAAGUCGAUCAGCUCAGAGCAAAGAUCAAAUCAAUAUAAAACUAAGAACUGUACAAAAUAUUGUUUCAAUUAAAUCUGAUGUUUUCUGUUUUCUGUUCUUCUCUGUUUUUAUUCCACCAGAUCCACAUCAAACAGAAACAAUAUAAUACAAUACAAAACAGUAUAAAUCAAUACAACACAGUACAAAUCAAUAAACACAAUAGAGCACUACAGGGACCCAGUCCUGACGUCAGCUUCAACCUGGUUCCUCCUCAUCCUUCAGGUUUAGUUGAUCAGAUCAUCUUCACAGAUGAACACCACUGUUCUGAUGUUUGAAGUAAGAAGCUAAUGUUAGGCUAUAAACCAACUACACCACGGUCACAUGACGUCAACGUCUCCACCACUAAGCUUCCAACUGGUCAUUUCAUUUAGCUCUGAGCUCUUCUACAAAAGCCUUUCUUCUUAGAAAGUUAGUGAGAGUUUGAAAGAGCGUGAGUAGAAACACAACGAGGCUGUAAAGGUGGACUGGUGAGUAGAUGGGUUUUCAUGUUAACGUCCCCGACAACCUCUGUAGUUUCAUUUAGACACUCGUUAGCAACCGCCUUUUUUAAGACACGUAAAAGCUUCAAACAUCAGGAGUGGGGGAUUUACUGACCCAUUUUAUGUCGGAGAAUAAAACCUGAAAAUGUCUCAGACCUUAUUUCAGACAUUGAACCAGAAACACACUGACAACAGGAAGAGCUAACAUGCUAACAUGCUACAUGCUAACAUGCUAACUGACUUCCUGGUUCUAGGACUCAUUCCUGUAGAACUCUAUAGAACCUCA